AUUCACGGCUCUCGACCUUUGCUGCAGGCACACUGUGAACUUCCGCUUCACACCGCAGGCACACUGUGAACUUCCGCUUCACGCUCCUGACCUGUGUGUUCCCUGCCAGGGUGGAUUGCAUCUUCAAACUGUCCAGAGCUUUUGGACAACCGAACACACACAGGAUGGAUGCUAGCAUGGAGACACUCCAAGGAGCCUCUCUCCACCAUCUUCGUCCCUGAACAUCCAUCUCCCUGUGGGUUGCAAACACAAACAGGGGAAUGCCAGGACCAGGAAUGGGAGUGGGUGAGUUGGGGAGCAGGGGGAGGGGGGAGGGGACAGGGAAUUUUUGGAGGGGAAACUAGGAAAGGGGAUAACAUUUGAAAUGUAAAUAAAGAAAAUAUCUAAUAAAGGAAAAAAAAAAACA
ensembl:lincRNA 1700021A07Rik RIKEN cDNA 1700021A07 gene